rnacentral:RNase_MRP_RNA from 1 species
GCGUGACGACAAGAGGAGCACUCGCAGCCACCCACCGGUCCUUGGUGACCGCCUGCGCUGUGAGCGAAAGUCCCUGGACCAGCGGCCGAAAGGGUCACCCCCUAGGGGAGAACCGUAAGGGAAUAGUUCCAGCAAAGGUAACGCUCAGUAUGCGAACAGCAUAGGGCUUACUCUGUCAGUCUCG